UGUCUUUAUUUAUCUUAUAAAAUUAUGUCGAAUUCAGGCUGGUUAGUGUUGCCAUGGUGAUUCCAUGCACAUACACAGUUGCCUUCUAAGAACCUUUCUUAGCUCAGUGCUUCUAAGGCCAUAAACUGUAAGGCUGCUGGUGCUCCAGCCAUCAUGGCCAGGUUUUCGCAUAAUGAGGGUCAAGAUGUAUGAUAAUGAACUUGGAGGUGGAAGAUGCUAAUACCAUAAAAGCUCAGAAUGAAGAAAACUGAAAAUGGCUUCAUUUACAGUGGGCAAUAAAUGCCAAAUAAAAGGAAACCAGGAU